rnacentral:rRNA from 1 species
CGGGCGCAUGGCGGAUGCCUUGGCGGCAGAUGGCGACGAAGGACGCGGCAAGCGGCGAUAUUCCACGGCGAGGCGCAGGCGGCCCGUGACCCGUGGGUUUCCGAAUGGGGCAACCCCGCCGGGACCUACCCGGCGAUCCGCGCGUGAAUGCAUAGCGCGCAGGAGGCGACACCGGGGGAAGUGAAACAUCUCAGUACCCCGAGGAGAAGAAAUCAAACGAGAUUCCGCAAGUAGCGGCGAGCGAACGCGGAGGAGCCCAAACCGGGCGGUUCACCGCCCGGGGUUGAAGGACCCGGACACGGAUCGCGGCGGGCCAGCCCGACCGCCUGGAAAGGCGGGCCGGAGCGGGUGACAGCCCCCUGGGCGAAGGCCCGGCCGCGUCCCACGGGCAUCCUGAGUAGUGCGGAACACGUGAAACUCCGCAUGAACCCGCGGGGCCCACCCCGCAAGGCUGAAUACAAGCUGCCGACCGAUAGCGAACGAGUACCGCGAGGGAAAGGUGAAAAGAACCCCUCCUAGGGGAGUGAAAGAGACCCUGAAACCAUGCGCCCCCAGACUGCAGGAGCACUCCGGUGUGACUGCGUGCCUUUUGCAUAAUGAGCCUGCGAGUCACCCUGCGCGGCGAGGUUAAGCCGAUUGGCGGAGCCGAAGCGAAAGCGAGUGCGAACAGCGCGUCGAGUCGCGCGGGGUGGACCCGAAGCUGGGUGAUCUAUCCGUGGCCAGGCCGAACCCCCGGUAACGCGGGGCGGAGGGCCGAACCAGUUCAUGUUGAAAAAUGCUUGGAUGAGCUGCGGAUAGGGGUGAAAGGCCAAUCAAACCCAGUGAUAGCUGGUUCUCUCCGAAAUAGCUUUGGGGCUAGCCCCGGCGGAAUCCCGCCACGGGGGUAGAGCUACCGAUGGGCCGCGGGGGGCCUUCCGCCCUGCCAACGCCCGUCGAACUCCGAAUACCGUGUGCGGCCGCGCCGGGAGUCAGACGGCGGGGGAUAAGCUCCGUCGUCGAAAGGGAAACAGCCCGGACCGCCGAUUAAGGCCCCCAAUCGUGCGCUUAGUGGAUUGUAAGGAUGUGGGGCCGCGCGGACAGCCAGGAUGUUGGCUCAGAGGCAGCCACCAUUUGAAGACCGCGUAACAGCCCACUGGCCGAGUGUCCCCGCGCCGAAAAUGAUCGGGACUGAAGCGCAUAGCCGAAAUCGCGGGACGCGCCUCGGGCGCGUCGGUAGGAGAGCGCCGCAUUUGCGCCGAAGCGGGAGCGCGAGCGACCGUGGAGCGGAUGCGGGCGACCAUGCAGGCAUGAGUAGCGACAAGGGUGGCGCGAAUCCACCCCACCGUAAAUCCGAGGUUUCCUGGGCCAGGUUCGUCCCCCCAGGGUCAGUCGGCCCCUAAGGCGAGGCGGAAGCGCGUAGCCGAUGGACAGCAGGCGAACAUUCCUGCACCCGUACGGUGUUCCCUCGCAUAGCGGGAGGCGGAGCGCGCCGGUCAUUGGAUUCCGGUGCCGCAAGGCGGAGCCGCGGGUCCCCCCGCGGCGAAGGCGCCGAGCGCUCCCGCCGAGAAAAGUGCGCAGGGGCACAGCCGUCCGGACCGUACCGCAAACCGACACAGGUGGAUGGGUCGAGCAGACCAAGGUGCGCGGGAGAAACCACGUUAAGGAACUCGGCAAAAAGGCCCCGUAACCUCGGGAGAAGGGGCGCUCCGGCGGGUCCGGGCAACCUUGCCCGCCGGAGCCGCAGCUAAGAGGCCCAGGCGACUGUUUAGCAAAAACACAGCACUAUGCCAAAUCGCAAGAUGACGUAUAUGGUGUGACACGUGACCAAUGCCGAAAGGUCAAGCGGAGGGGUCAGAAGCAAUUCGAAGCCCGGAUGUGAAGCCCCGGUGAAUGUCGGCCGUAACUAUAACGGUCCUAAGGUAGCGAAAUUCCUUGUCGGGCAAGUUCCGACCUGCACGAAUCGUGUAACGAUCUGGGCGCUGUCUCAACGUGGAUCCCGGCGAAGUUGUAGUUCCGGUGAAAAUGCCGGACACCUGCGGAAGGACGGAAAGACCCCAUGAACCUUCACUGUUGCCUGGCAUUGGCAACCGGUCACCCGCGUGCAGCAUAGGUGGGAGGCCGCGAGGCGGCGGCGUCAGCCGCCGCGGAGCCGCCCGUGAGAUACCACCCCCGGGUGUCUGGUUGUCUAACCCCGACCCUUGCAUCAGGGCGCGGGACCGUGCCAGGCGGUCAGUUUGACUGGGGCGGUUUCCUCCCAAAAGGUAACGGAGGAGCUCGAAGUUCGGCUCAGCGCGGUUGGCAACCGCGCGUCGAGUGCAAGGGCACAAGCCGGCCUCACU